rnacentral:misc_RNA from 1 species
GAUGAAGAACGUAGUGAAAUGCGAUACGUAAUGUGAAUUGCAGAAUUCAGUGAAUCAUCGAAUCUUUGAACGCACAUUGCGCCCGCCAGUAUUCUGGCGGGCAUGCCUGUUCGAGCGUCAUUUCAACCAUCAAGCCCCCGGCUUGUGUUGGGGACCUGCGGCUGCCGCAGGCCCUGAAAACCAGUGGCGGGCUCGCUGUCACACCGAGCGUAGUAGAUUUUCAUCUCGCUCAGGGCGUGCUGCGGGUUCCGGCCGUAAAAAGCCUUAUUUACCCAAGGUUGACCUCGGAUCAGGUAGGAAGACCCGCUGAACUUAAGCAUAUCAAUAAGCGGAGGA